CAUAUAUCUAGGCAAAUUGCCUAGAAGUGAAUCCCCUCUCCUGCUUAAGUCCUUCCCACAGAGAGCGGUUUGAUAUGUCACUGAAACCAGCAUCCAGGUGGUAUUGCUCCAUAUGCCUGAGACCCUAACAAAAGCCUAAUUACAACUCAUAUGCCUGGAGCCAGGACAUGUGCAGGAUGCCAUGAUGGUCCAAGUUAUAUUGGGAUUCAGCCAAUAGAAGAUAUUUUGCCUGUCAUCCCUAAGCUUAGGACAAUAGGUGAUAUAACCCUCUUCUCUGGAAUGGGCCCCACACAAAGGAAGGAUAGUGACAUAUUGCAAGCCCAGGCACACAGGCCCAGAGCACAGUUGAAAUUGUGACAUAUGUACACCAAGCAACCAAGCAAUGUAUAACACCUCAUUUGGCAAUGGAAUCGAGGGCACUUUUACAUAUCACUGAGACCAGCGCCCAGCUGAUGUGAAAUAUUGGCCUGAACCCUGCCUACAAAAGCAUUGUGGCUUUUAUCUAGCUCCAUUACAUAAGUGAUGUGACUUCCUUCUACUGCCUUGGCCCUGCACUUAUGGUGAAUCGUGACACAAAAUUGGGUAGAGCAA
rnacentral:lncRNA from 1 species